CCUACGGGUGGCAGCAGUGAGGAAUAUUGGUCAAUGGGCGAGAGCCUGAACCAGCCAAGUCGCGUGAGGGAGUACUGCCCUAUGGGUUGUAAACCUCUUUUGUCGGGGAGCAAAAGCCGGACGUGUUCACCUGUGAGAGUACCCGUAGAAAAAGCAUCGGCAAACUCCGUGUCAGCGCCGGCGGUAACACGGAGGAUGAGAGGGCUAGCCGGAUUUAUUGGGUGUAAAGGGUGAGCAGGCGUAUUUUUAAGUUAGAGUGAAAAGCGUGGGCCUCAACCCGAUCCUGCCGUUGAGACUGGGGAGCUAGAGUGUGCUAGAGGUAUGUGGAAUGCGUGGUGUAGCGGUGAAAUGCAUAGAGAUCACGCAGAACCCCGAUUGCGAAGGCAGCAUACCGGUGCACAACUGACGCUCAGGCACGAAAGCGUGGGUAUCGAACAGGAUUAGAUACCCCUGUAGUC
rnacentral:rRNA from 1 species